rnacentral:SRP_RNA from 1 species
UCGUGCUAAGCGGGGAGUUAGCGGUGCCCUGUACCUGCAAUCCGCUACAGCAGGGUCUAAUCCCCAUCACGAGGCGCAUGUUUGCGAGGCAGGCGCCGGUAAGGAACGUCGAGGGCCGGGUCCUGUGCAAUCGGCAUCUGCGAACCAUGUCAGGCCUUGACGGGAGCAGCAUUAAGCAGAGCCGCCGGUGUGCCGCGGGUUCGCCUGGCCGGAGUCACCUGCCGGAGUUCCGCUCGGGGGCACUGCGUCGAAUGAUGGGUGCACGA